CCAAGCCGGCGUCCCGGAUGUAGAAGUAGCUGGGCGGCCGCUCUUCUCGGUCGUGCACCCCCCUAAAGAGCUUGGUGCAGGAGAGUCCAGAGGCACAGCCUGAAAAAGCUGAGUAUCAGUGCUGUGGAAAUGAAGGCAACCCUUCGCAUUCCUGUGACUGAGUCUUCAUGUUGAGCCCUUCUUCGUGGAUGAGUAUGCAUGUGCUAGAAUUGUUGAAGCUAGACUUUCAAGUAGCUGUGAGCCACCUGAAGUACGUGCUGUGACCAACUGCAGUCUUCUGGGAGAACAAGUGCUUUUCACUACCGAGCCUUACCUCCAGACCCUCAUGGUAAGUAGUUUAAGUUGUUAAUAUUUAUUUUGGGAUGAUCUCAGUCCUUAUGAACUGACUUUGUUUGCCAUUAAUUAACAUCUUGUCACACAAACAAUAGACCAAGUGCUUCAAGAAUUUACCCUCAACAUCUUUAUCUAAAAUGUUUAAUUGUAGGAAAAUUUAAAUUAUGAUGCAUUAAACCCUUACACACACACACUCUUGCUCUUUUGAGACAAGAUUAUGCUAUAUAGCCCACAGUGCCCAGGUUGAUCUUGAACUCCUGAUUCUCC
ensembl:antisense Gm38304 predicted gene, 38304